CAGUCGCCGCGGGAUACGUAGGGUGCAAGCGUUAAUCGGAAUUACUGGGCGUAAAGCGUGCGCAGGCGGUUCGCUAAGACAGAUGUGAAAUCCCCGGGCUUAGCCUGGGAACUGCAUUUGUGACUGGCGGGCUAGAGUAUGGCAGAGGGGGGUAGAAUUCCACGUGUAGCAGUGAAAUGCGUAGAGAUGUGGAGGAAUACCGAUGGCGAAGGCAAUCCCCUGGGCCUGCACUGACGCUCAUGCACGAAAGCGUGGGGAGCAAACAGGAUUAGAGACCCGCGUAGUCCCUGUCUCUUAUACA
rnacentral:rRNA from 1 species